rnacentral:rRNA from 1 species
CCUACGGGAGGCAGCAGUGGGGAAUAUUGGACAAUGGGGGGAACCCUGAUCCAUCCAUGCCGCGUGUGUGAAGAAGGCCCUCGGGUUGUAAAGCACUUUCAGUGAGGAAGAACGCCUGGUGGUUAAUACCCAUCAGGAAAGACAUCACUCACAGAAGAAGCACCGGCUAACUCCGUGCCAGCAGCCGCGGUAAUACGGAGGGUGCGAGCGUUAAUCGGAAUUACUGGGCGUAAAGCGCGCGUAGGUGGCUUGAUAAGCCGGUUGUGAAAGCCCCGGGCUCAACCUGGGAACGGCAUCCGGAACUGUCAAGCUAGAGUGCAGGAGAGGAAGGUAGAAUUCCCGGUGUAGCGGUGAAAUGCGUAGAGAUCGGGAGGAAUACCAGUGGCGAAGGCGGCCUUCUGGACUGACACUGACACUGAGGUUCGAAAGCGUGGGUAGCAAACAGGAUUAGAUACCCGAGUAGUC